rnacentral:rRNA from 1 species
AGUGAACGCUGGCGGUAGGCCUAACACAUGCAAGUCGAACGGCAGCACAGUAAGAGCUUGCUCUUACGGGUGGCGAGUGGCGGACGGGUGAGGAAUACAUCGGCAUCUACUUUUUCGUGGGGGAUAACGUAGGGAAACUUACGCUAAUACCGCAUAUGACCUACGGGUGAAAGCAGGGGAUCUUCGCACCUUGCGCGAUUGAAUGAGCCGAUGUCGGAUCAGCUAGUUGGCGGGGUAAAGGCCCACCAAGGCGACGAUCCGUAGCUGGUCUGAGAGGAUGAUCAGCCACACUGGAACUGAGACACGGUCCAGACUCCUACGGGAGGCAGCAGUGGGGAAUAUUGGACAAUGGGCGCAAGCCUGAUCCAGCCAUACCGCGUGGGUGAAGAAGGCCUUCGGGUUGUAAAGCCCUUUUGUUGGGAAAGAAAAGCAGCAGGUUAAUACCCCGCUGUUCUGACGGUACCCAAAGAAUAAGCACCGGCUAACUUCGUG